AAACGCUUGAAGUCAGUCGCGUCUGCCGGAACUCAGCCUUGCUUCUGCUCGGUGCACUUUCUGUUUGGAUGGGUCAGCAUCAAUUUUGAUCGUUGGAUAAAGGCUUGGGGAAUGUGGCAUCUUCGGAUGUGUUAUAGCCCUUGGUUAUACAACGGUUGGGAUUGAGGAACUCAGUGCUUGCACUCAGGAUGCUGGCAUAAUGGCUUUAAUCGA
rnacentral:rRNA from 1 species